rnacentral:rRNA from 1 species
UACGUAGGGUGCGAGCGUUAAUCGGAAUUACUGGGCGUAAAGCGUGCGCAGGCGGUUCGUUGUGUCGGCGGUGAAAGCCCCGGGCUUAACCUGGGAAUGGCCGUUGAAACUGGCGAACUGGAGUGUGGCAGAGGGGGGUGGAAUUCCGCGUGUAGCAGUGAAAUGCGUAGAUAUCGUAAGGAAGACCAGUGGCGAAGGCGAAUCUCUGGACAGUUACUGACGCUGAGGCACGAAGGCCAGGGGAGCAAACGGG